rnacentral:tRNA from 1 species
AGCUCUGUGGCGAAAUGGCAACGCGGUGGACCUGCAAGUCCGCUAUAUUCAGGUUCGACUCCUGACGGAGCUUCCA